CUUCUCAAUAAUGCUCUGUCUUUUACAUAUUUUCUAUCCCUUAUUAGGUAGUUCCUGCCCAGCAUGCAACUAUUGCGGAGGAAAAUAAAUAAACAAAAUUAAACAGUUAUUAAAAUCUAUGUUCACAGUGGGGAUCAUCUGUUGGUGUAACGGUGAAAUGGUUGCAUUGUUUAUGGUGCAACAAAGUUUAAAUUUUUACCUGGACUAAUUUGAUCUCAUAUUGGUAGGAGGACUACCGGUUUGAUCCCAUAUUGGUAGGAGGACUCUAUGGCGGCUGAUCUUGGAGGACAUACAAGUGACCCUUGCUGGGCAGGACUCUACAGCAGCUGAUCUUGGAGGACAUACAAGUGACCCUUCCUGUGCAGGACUCUAUGGCAGCUGAUCUUGGAGGACAUAUAGUUGACCCUUGUUGGACUGGUGUGGUUGCGAACCCUGUUCCUUGUAGACAGGUGCUGCACCUACUGCUGCAGUCUUGGACGACAUACAAAUGAUCCUUGCUAGACUGGUGUGCUGAUGACCCUGUUCCUCGUAGGCCUGUGCUGCACCUACUGCUGCGGUCUUGGAUAUAGGGUUGACCAAGGCAUCAUAGCCAAUCACAAUUAAGAAUUAAGCUAUUUCUAAAUAUUUAUUUCUGUCAUUUAGUUUCUUAAACAAAAUUGCAUAUUUUAUAAGAGAAAUAUUAAUUCAAAAAAGUUUGGCACUCUCUUAUUGGGCUGUUUGUACGGUUGCAGGGUAUAGAAUAUUUUUAUAUCUUCUCAAUAUUAGAGAACGCACAUCUCUCAAUACAGUGCUCUGUCGAUAAGGCAGAUUAUCAAAAAGAAAACACAAAAUUCGAGCAAUCUGCUGCCAUGCAAUUUUUCAAUUUCAAUCCUGCAUUCACGGCAGGCCAAGAGGACACUGCUUCUUUCAGACAUUUGGGUGAACAGUCCAUGUGCCUUGCCUGUGCUUCCACUUUUUGCACACAUUUUGCAGGAUAAUACAAGGUCAUUAGUAGCGAUGGAUGAUAUUUGAAGGGACAUUGGAUAAUUAAUAUUGCAGAGCCCCUUGCUGGAGAAGUAACCACCAUCCCUAAUGGCAAGGCUGUUGAGGACACUCCAAAUGAGUUGGUGUUGGAUGGCGGUUUUGUGACCUCAGAAAGCAACAGAUUCGGCUAUGUUUUCAGAAGCUCUGGAGCUCGAAUGUCUAUCUGCUGAGGAAAUUAUCAAAGGAGUUUCAGGCACACUGGUGAUCUUUAAUGUCAGAGGCAACGGCGAUGGGAAAAAUAACAUAGUCAACAAUGACACCAACGGCUGCAUAUCAGAAAUUGAAGGAAAAAAGAAGAUAAAUGGAUUCUUCAACACUAUUACUGGAUAAAUCUUGAAUGUCCAUAAUUUUUAUUCGUUUGCUUAUACAACUAUUGGGGUUUUUUUACUUUGUGAGGAAAAAUAAAAUAUUAACUGCAAACAAUUUUCUGCUAUAAGCUUUUGUGACAGUAGAUAUCAAUAUAUUGCUUCCACCGGUUAUUGAAGAAGCAAUAUCAAGUGUGGUAGUUGAGAAAAUUUUAUUUAUGGUUAUUACUUUUUAGUGUUUUUU